AUAUUGGACAAUGGGGGGAACCCUGAUCCAGCCAUGCCGCGUGUGUGAAGAAGGUCUUCGGAUUGUAAAGCACUUUAAGUUGGGAGGAAGGGGUUGAAGCUAAUACCCUGGACUAAUGACGGUACCCACAGAAUAAGUACCGGCUAACUACGUGCCAGCAGCCGCGGUAAUACGUAGGGUGCGAGCGUUAAUCGGAAUUACUGGGCGUAAAGCGUGCGCAGGCGGUUUUGUAAGACCGAUGUGAAAUCCCCGGGCUUAACCUGGGAACUGCAUUGGUGACUGCAAGGCUUGAGUGUGUCAGAGGGAGGUGGAAUUCCGCGUGUAGCAGUGAAAUGCGUAGAUAUGUGGAGGAAUACCGAUGGCGAAGGCAGCCCCCUGGGAUAAUACUGACGCUCAGACACGAAAGCGUGGGGAGCAAACAGG
rnacentral:rRNA from 1 species